AGCAGCCGCGGUAAUUCCAGCUCCAAUAGCGUAUAUUAAAGUUGUUGCAGUUAAAAAGCUCGUAGUUGAAUUUUAGGCCUGACCGGGCGGUCCGUCUUUGGCGAGUACUGUCCUGUGUCGGGUCCACCUUCUGGUGAACCAGUAUGUCCUUUAUUGGGGUGUGCCGGGGAGCCAGGACCAUUACCUUGAAAAAAAUUAGAGUGUUUAAAGCAGGCAUUUGCUUGAAUAGAUUAGCAUGGAAUAAUAGAAUAGGACGUUGUGGUUCUAUUUUGUUGGUUUCUAGGACCACCGUAAUGAUUAAUAGGGAUAGUUGGGGGCAUUAGUAUUCAAUUGUCAGAGGUGAAAUUCUUGGAUUUAUUGAAGACUAACUAUUGCGAAAAGCAUUUGCCAAGGAUGUUUUCAUUAAUCAAGAACGGAAGUUAGGGGAUCGAAGACGAUCAGAUACCGUCGUAGUCUUAACCAUAAACUAUGCCGACUAGGAAUCGGGCGACGUUAUUCUCAUGACUCGCUCGGCGCC
rnacentral:rRNA from 1 species